rfam:Actinobaculum sp. oral taxon 183 str. F0552 genomic scaffold Scaffold30, whole genome shotgun sequence.
GGGGAUGAUCGGUUUCGACGGCGAAUGCGCGCCGAAGGGAAGCGGGUCGAGGAUGCAGAGUCAUCUCGUUAACGAUUCUCUGCGAACCAAUAGGUGCCAAGAACAAGAGCACCGAUUUCGCCCUCGCCGCCUGAGCGAGCUGCGGAAUCCGUCAGCCUAGGGGUGCUUUCCUCCUAGAACCUGGCGUCGCCUUUGAAAGCCACUGCCGAACGGGUAUGCAGCGGGCCCGCUCGGAACUCUUACGCCGCUAGGUCCGUCAGCGACUCGUUCGCGUGAGCGCUGGGGCCGAAAACAACGCACUGCGAACUGCACCCGGAGAAUACUUGGGCAAGCAUCGUCGGACGCGGGUUCGAUUCCCGCCAUCUCCACUG